rnacentral:rRNA from 2 species
UGGUAAUGCCGGAUGCUCCAGUUGAUCGCAUGGUCUUCUGGGAAAGCUUUCGCGGUAUGGGAUGGGGUCGCGUCCUAUCAGCUUGACGGCGGGGUAACGGCCCACCGUGGCUUCGACGGGUAGCCGGCCUGAGAGGGCGACCGGCCACAUUGGGACUGAGAUACGGCCCAGACUCCUACGGGAGGCAGCAGUGGGGAAUAUUGCACAAUGGGCGCAAGCCUGAUGCAGCGACGCCGCGUGAGGGAUGGAGGCCUUCGGGUUGUAAACCUCUUUUAUCGGGGAGCAAGCGUGAGUGAGUUUACCCGUUGAAUAAGCACCGGCUAACUACGUGCCAGCAGCCGCGGUAAUACGUAGGGUGCAAGCGUUAUCCGGAAUUAUUGGGCGUAAAGGGCUCGUAGGCGGUUCGUCGCGUCCGGUGUGAAAGUCCAUCGCUUAACGGUGGAUCCGCGCCGGGUACGGGCGGGCUUGAGUGCGGUAGGGGAGACUGGAAUUCCCGGUGUAACGGUGGAAUGUGUAGAUAUC